rnacentral:rRNA from 1 species
AUUGAACGCUGGCGGCAGGCUUAACACAUGCAAGUCGAGCGGGGAAGGUAGCUUGCUACCGGACCUAGCGGCGGACGGGUGAGUAAUGCUUAGGAAUCUGCCUAUUAGUGGGGGACAACAUCUCGAAAGGGAUGCUAAUACCGCAUACGUCCUACGGGAGAAAGCAGGGGAUCUUCGGACCUUGCGCUAAUAGAUGAGCCUAAGUCGGAUUAGCUAGUUGGUGGGGUAAAGGCCUACCAAGGCGACGAUCUGUAGCGGGUCUGAGAGGAUGAUCCGCCACACUGGGACUGAGACACGGCCCAGAGUCCUACGGGAGGCAGCAGUGGGGAAUAUUGGACAAUGGGGGGAACCCUGAUCCAGCCAUGCCGCGUGUGUGAAGAAGGCCUUAUGGUUGUAAAGCACUUUAAGCGAGGAGGAGGCUACUUUAGUUAAUACCUAGAGAUAGUGGACGUUACUCGCAGAAUAAGCACCGGCUAACUCUGUGCCAGCAGCCGCGGUAA